UUGAGACCCUAAGCAACUCAGUGAGACCUUGUCUUAAAACUAAAGAGAAAAAAAAAAAAGUAAUGUUAAGACAUCAAAAAGAGCUCGAAGAUUUCUGCAGCGGGUGAUCUCCGUGAUAAACUCUGUCUCCUUUAGAUGCUACGCAGUGCCUUAAAAACUCUACCUGCCUGAGCUGAGCCUCAGUUUCCUUUUCUGUAAAGUGAGGGUAGCAAUGAUUUCAAUCCAGGUGACUUCAAGUUGUUGUCUGGACCACAGCAGACCCUGGAUGUGGGUGUCCUUGGUAAGCUACAACCCUGUGCCCUGUGGAGGGGUUGCCAGUAUCAACUCAGGUCUAUUCCAGGCCUGAGAUCUGUCUAUCUUCAACUGGACCAGUCCUGGCUGUACUAAGCAGCUCCCCGGAAGCAAGUUGCAUGGACUCCCUCUCCCCAACCCCUUCUGCCUGUCAGAUUAUGCUUUGUGGGUGGCACAGAGGCUCCAGGUACUUUGCUGGGAGACUGUCUCCCUAGAUGGGAUCUCCUAGGAUAAACACAUCUGAACCAAGAGCCCCAACUACCAUCAGCCCUCUGUUAGGGGUCCAGGUUGGUGUCCAGGAAGAUAUGUGGGGCUCGCACCAGGACAUCGCACCCCUGGAUAGGUAGGGAAGGAAACAUUCCUAACAGGUGUACCCAGCUACCAGUGGCAUUGCAUAAGAUGUUGACAUUCACCAUAAAGGAAUCAAGAUAGUUGUCACAAACUUUUCUUAGCUCCCAUUUGGAAUACUUACUAGUUCCUUCACUGGGUAUUUGUUCUAAUGUUUGCACAUUUCUUCAAUCAUGGCAUUUUUAUCAGUGACUUAUUAUGUGUCAGAGCAAUGCUAAGGGCUCUGCAUUACAUAGACAUACAUUAUGUCUUAUUUUAGUCAGGAUAGGCUAGAUGAUGCGCUGGUAACAAAUGACCCCACAUCUCAGUGGCUCUAAGCAACAAACAGCCAUUUCUCACUGACAUGAUGCCCUCAGUACAGCUCUUCAGGGAAGGGACCUUCAAUCCAAGGAGUGCUCUGUCAUCAUUCCAACAGCAGACUGUGGGAUCUGCUGCAUGGGGAGAGUGUGUAAAUUGUGCACCAUUCAGGAACACUCUGCCUGGAAGUGACACCCUUCAUGUUGCUCAUGCUUCGCUGGCUAGAGGGUGUUACAUUGCCAUCUCUACCUUCAGGCAAGAGUAGGACAGUGGACUCCUUCCCUGAGCCUUUAGGAAAGGAAACAGGUAUAUAUGUGGAUCUCUGUGCAACAAACCAGCAAUGUAGUCAUUUUUCUAUUUUACACAAGAAGAAACAGGCUGAGCAGCUUCACUUACAUAACUUGUAGGGGGAGAGGUGGGAUUUAAACUGGGGAAGGCUGACUGCAAAGCCUUUGCUGUUUCCUGUGUAUCACUCCCUGUGGUGCAUGUGAGAUGGCUGUGUCACAAGGUAGGAAGCUGCAGCUUGGCAAUCAGAGGAUGGGUAAUGGGCUGUGAACUGUCAGAGGAAGGAGAGAUCACAUCCAGUUGGAGAAAUCCAGGUGGCCUUCAAUGGGGAGGUGGCACUUGCCUCUAGAUGGUGGAUAGGUCAGAUUUGGAUGUUUAGAGAUAUUUAUUCUUUCGGUUAGUCAGUUAUUCCUCUGGGUCUCUUGUGCCUGGAGAACCAACUGUUUAGAAAUCAUUUAGUCACACUGCACCCUCACUAGAGAGGUCUGGUGUAAUGAGGGUGGGUGGGAGCCAGUUCUGAACAGUGUUUGACCAAGGAGUGUUCCUGGAGUGGGCCCUGGGGAGAAAUUUGAUGCAGUGGGCAAUUAGGAACUGAAUUUUAUUGCAGAUUUUGUGUACCCUUCCUCCUUCUGGCUCCCUCCUUCCUCCUCCCCUUUCCCUUUCCUUCCCUGGCCACUCCUCCCCUCCCCCUUCCCCGGUGCUGAGGGCUGGGAAAGGGGAGGAGGCAGACACAGCUGGGCCUCCCUGGGGGUCUCCCAGCAUAAGGAUGGGAGGGAUAAUGUUGCAGGGCCCCAGGGUCCCAGUGUUUGCCUAGAAACUCAAGAAGAAACCUCCAGUGUGAGGCAGAGUGACCCCUUGGAGGGGUGUGGAUAACUGGAGUCAAAGAAAAUAAGCCAGCCACGGGGAGCAGGCAGGACGCCUGCAGGCAGCCAGGGCGGCCAGGCCUGCUGCGGAGAGGGGCGCGGGGCCUCUGCUCCGUGGGCUCCAGGCCCUGCGGCCUGGGGCAGCUGGUCCCUCGGGCUCACCCAGCCGCCUGCACCUGGCCUGGCGCACAGCUGUGCUCCAGCGAGCUGCCCCACCAGCAGCCAGUUUCCGUCAGAGCAGCUACAGCGGAAGUUGGCGCUUCGCUGAUUUUCCUGCUUCUCCUCCCCCACUCAGUGAGAACUUGAGGUUAGGGGACAGACCAUGCCAGCUCCGGGAGGGUGUGGAUGAACCGAGGACUGAGAGGAGCUGGGAGCCACCCUCACAUGAGGCUGAGGCUCCGCCAUACCCCUUGUCCUUCCAAAUUCUCAGGCUGCAGCAAAGGGCCUGAGGUCUCUUCUUGGAGGAACUGUUGUGUCUUCCUGGGGCUCAGAGAGGAGUGCCACUGUGUCUGUGUUCUACAGUAUGUCCCCUCUUUCCUUCUAUGGCAUCAAAGGAUCUCAGUGCUGGAAGGGAUGGGGGUGGUUUACCAAGGCCAAUGGUUGCUAGACCUGCUGAUGGUCACCUAGGAAGCUUUUAAAAAGGCUCAUUCCAGGAUUUGAGCCCAGAAGUUCUGACUUAGAAGUUCUGACCUGGCCGCAGGUUCCCUGGGGCCACACCCAGAGUGCCUCAGUGACUUGUGCUUGGCCACCACCCUUUCUCCUGUGAAUUGAUCGUUCUCAUUAAGGGGACUGCUCUCAACACCUGCUGGGAGGAUCAGCCUUGGUUUAUUGCACUCUGUGAGCACUUGCCAGUUCAUUGGGCCCAAGUCACCCCAAACCCCACACCCAGCCAGGAGUGGAUUUCUGCACCAGCUAUGUUCCAUUUGAUCCAGGAAAGGAGACUUUCCCCAGGUGGGUGACCAAGGUGUUUGUAGGCCAAAGCGGAGAGGAGAGCCUGGGAGCCAGAAACAUGGUUCCCAGCACUCCAGAUGCCUGUGCUUGACAGACAGGAAGGGCUGCAGGAAGCGUGGGCCAUCCCUCCUCCAAUAUAAGAGCCACCAUUGUAGUGUGUGUUAUUACACACACACACACACACACACACACUCCAGACACUGUCUUCUGGAGACACACCCAGAGUAUCUCUCCAGGAAAACAUUUUUAUCUUCAUUUCUGAAUUUCAAGAAAAGCUUCACAAAAAGUGAUGGCUUUGCUCCAGGUGUGGACUCUACUCCUAUAGCAUCUCAUGGGCUUGUUUUUUUGUUCUACCAGGGAGGCAGAGGGUGCAGGGUGGACCUUCUCCUGCACUCACAGAGCACAUUGAGCUCAGAGGGCCUGUGGUUCUGAGUUUCUGGUGGUAAAGAGCUAGGAUAUGUGGACUGUGUUCUCACAUUAUGCAGACAAAAGUCAUGCAUAUGUGUCCAAGUGUGCACAUAUGUAUAAUAUGUCAUGAGUGUGUAUAUACACACAGCUGGCCCUCCAUAUCCGUGUGUUCUUCAUCCAGCGUUUUAACAUGGAUUUAAAAAAAAAUCAAGAAAUGCAUUUGUAUUGAACGUGUAAAGACAUUUUUUCCUGUCAUUUCCCCCUAAACAAAAUAGUAUAAAAGUAUUUAUGUAACAUUCACAUCUUAUUAGGUACUAGAGAUGGUUUAAACUAUAUGGAGGGUAUGUGAAAGUUAUAUACAAAUAUGCAAUUCUAUCUAUCUAUCUAUCUAUCUAUCUACCAUCUAGCUUUUGAAAUAGGAUAUUGCUAUGUUGCCCAGGUCAGUCUUGAGCUCCAGAGCUCAAGCCAUCCUCCUAUCUCAGUCUUCUGAGUAGUGGGGACUACAGGCACAUGCCACUGCACUUGGCAGCUACUAUGCCAAUUUAUAUCUCCUGAAAUGAUCUUUUUUUUCCUGGUAUGGGGGACCAAACACAGGGCUUUCCAUAUGCUAGGCUAGCUCUCUACCACGGAACCACAUCUCCAGUAUAUAUAAGAGACUUGAUCAUGCAAGGAUUUUGGUACCUGUGGGGUCCUAGAACUAGCCUCCCCACAUAUUAAGGGUGACUAUAUAUGCAGAGAGGAAGAGAGAGCACACAUAAUCGGUGAGGCAAGUAGGGUGAAUGCUAACUAUAGUGGCUCGUCUGACUAAAACACAUAGGUGUUCUUUGUACUAUUUUUAUUUUUGUAAUGUUUUGCAAUUUUAAAUUUAUUUCUGAAUAAAAGUAUUUAAAGGUGUAUGUUUUAUUCAAAGACAGGAGGCAGUCUGAGUCUGUGGGGUACUUAUCCAUGGAAGUCCUACUUGUCACAUUAUCAUCUAUGCAUUUUAUUUUUUAUUUUUUAAAAAGGGCUAGUGGUUAGUCAGUGGUACAGAGCCUCUUGAUAUGUGUGGUGGGGGAGAACUUGGAUGUGGCCUCUGGUCUUUUUUUUUUUUUUGUACCAGGGAUUGAACCAAGGGGUGCUUUACUGCUGAGCUACAUCCUCAGUCCUUUUUGUUCUUUAUUUUGGCAUAGGGUCUCACUAAGUUGUGUAGGGCUUUACUAGUUGCUAAAGCUGACCUCAAACUUGCAAUCUUCCUGCCUCAGCCUGCCAAGUUAUGGGGAUUACAGACGUGUGACACCAUGCUGAAACAUUUAUGUAUUUUAAGAUUGACUUAAAAUACAGGGCUCAUAUGCAAACUUCCCUGGCCUCCCAGUUCAUGUACCCUGAUUUCAUGUAUUUUUCCUUCCACUUAUUCUGACAGGUAGAAGUGAAUUAUUUUUAAUUUAAUGUGUUUCUCCUGCUGGACUAUAAGUUUCAUGUAGACAGGACCUUGUCUGUCUUAUUCCUGGAUGAAUCCCAAGAGCGAAGCACAGCUGGAAUAUCAUAUGGGUUCAAGGAACAUUUGUUGAAAGAAUAACGAAUGAGUGAAUGAAUGACAUUGUGGGCCACAGAUGCACAUAGGUGGACACACAUGUGCAAACAAGCUUAUGUCCUAUUUUCUUAGCUCUAUUGCUCUGUUCGGCAGUUAGACUGGAGAUGCCAGGAUUUGGAGGGCAGCUGGCAGGGUGGCAUCAUGCCUCUGGAAAUGAAAUCCUGGGAAUGAAUGACAUCCUUUGGGAACAGAGGAGGAUGCCCCUUCCCAGCCAGGGCCCCCUUCUCCUCCCGACCUCGAACUCAGAGGCUCUUCCGGGGGAGAAAUGAUGCUCUUGUGGCAGGUGGCACAGGCAUCCCAGAGACAGCGGGCUGUGAGGGGGGCAGGGAUGCUGAGUGGAAGCUACUGCCUUUCUGGAAACAAAAGAGCCCUUUAGAGUCACUCGGUGUCAUGUCUUCCUGCCCUGGGCUUCUGCCAAGCUUCCCUCUUCCUAUUGUGGAGCAGCAGCAACACCACAAAUCUGACCUGCAUUUGCUCCUGAUGCAAAGCCAUGGGGCGUGAGGCAAAUGGGUGCAGGAGCAAAGGGCGGGGCCGGCCUCAUGGCCAAAGUGUGCUCAUCAACAGAGAAGUUUUUGUUUUAAUCUUUGAAAAACCUAAUGCAUCUACGUAUUCAAAAUUGAAAAAGCAUAAAAACCCAUGCCCUUAAAUGCCCCCUCUCCCACUGCCCUCUAUCCAUCCACUUGCCCUUGAUGAUGUUCUUAGUUUCUUAGGAUCCCUUCAUGGAGAGUUCAGAUAUACAUGCAAGCAUAGAAUUCCAUACAUGCUGCCUUGUUCACUUAUUGAUAGACUUUGUCUUUUCUAUAAGUGUUCAUAAAAAGAAUGUCCUUGAUUCAGUUUUGCUUUUGUCUGCAUAGUAUUCCACAGUGUCAAUGUCCUAAGGAAAAUGCCCUGCACAACUAAGGAGCCAGACCAGCCUCUAUCUAUGAGGAGCCCUUGGUUCCCCAAGGGUGGUGAAGAGUAUUGAGGAGACAUCAGGAAUCCUAGGCCCAUACUGUUCUUCAGCGUUGAAAUACGACUGUCAAAAUUGACAUGUGUGAUAAAGGUAAAAUGCAAACUGGAUUUUGAAGAUUUCACUUACAAAUGUAAAGUAUCUUAUGCAUGAUUUUUGUAUCAUUAUAAAUCAGGACAAUGAUAUUUUGACUAUAUUGGUUAAAUAAAAUAUACCAUGGGAAUAAAUUCUA
rnacentral:lncRNA from 1 species